UACGGGGGGGGCAAGCGUUGUUCGGAAUUACUGGGCGUAAGGGCGCGUAGGCGGUCUACUCAGUUGGAUGGGAAAUCUCCUGGCUCAACUGGGAGAGGACGUUCAAGACUGUCGGACUAGAGGACGGUAGAGGAAGGUAGAAUUCCCGGUGUAGUGGUGAAAUGCGUAGAUAUCGGGAGGAUACCAGUGGCGAAGGCGGCCUUCUGGGCCGUUCCUGACGCUCAGACGCGAAAGCUAGGGGAGCAAACGGG
rnacentral:rRNA from 1 species